AACGUAGGAGACAAACGUUAUCCGGAGUUACUGGGCGUAAAGGGUGUGUAGGCGGUUUGUUAAGUCUGGCGUGAAAGCUCUCGGCUAAACCGGGAGAGGUCGUUGGAUACUGGCGAACUAGAGGAUGGUAGAGGCGUGUGGAAUUCCGGGUGUAGUGGUGAAAUGCGUAGAGAUCCGGAGGAACACCAGUGGCGAAGGCGACACGCUGGGCCAUACCUGACGCUAAAGCGCGACAGCAUGGGGAGCAAACGGG
rnacentral:rRNA from 1 species